GACGAACGCUGGCGGCGUGCUUAACACAUGCAAGUCGAACGGUAAGGCCCUUCGGGUACGACGAGUGGCGAACGGGUGGAGUAACACGUGGGUGAUCUGCCCUGCACUUCGGGAUAAGCCUGGGAAACUGGGUCUAAUACCGGAUAGGACCAUGGACUUCACGGUUUGUGGUGGAAAGCUUUUGCGGUGUGGGAUGGGCCCGCGGCCUAUCAGCUUGUUGGUGGGGUAACGGCCUACCCAAGGCGACGACGGGUAGCCGGCCUGAGAGGGUGUCCGGCCACACUGGGACUGAGAUACGGCCCAGACUCCUACGGGAGGCAGCAGUGGGGAAUAUUGCACAAUGGGCGCAAGCCUGAUGCAGCGACGCCGCGUGAGGGAUGACGGCCU
rnacentral:rRNA from 1 species